rnacentral:rRNA from 1 species
UACGGAAGGCAGCAGUGGGGAAUAUUGCACAAUGGGCGAAAGCCUGAUGCAGCUAUGCCGCGUGUAUGAAGAAGGCCUUAGGGUUGUAAAGUACUUUCAUCGGGGAGGAAAAACAAAACUAAUAAUUUUAUUUCUUGACGUUACCCGAAAAAGAAGCACCGGCUAACUCCGUGCCAGCAGCCGCGGUAAUACGGAGGGUGCUAGCGUUAAUCAGAAUUACUGGGCGUAAAGAGCACGUAGGUGGUUUUUUUAAGUCAGAUGUGAAAUCCCUGGGCUUAACCUAGGAACUGCAUUUUGAAACUGAAAUACUAGAGUAUCGUAGAGGGAGGUAGAAUUCUAGGUGUAGCGGUGAAAUGCGUAGAUAUCUGGAGGAAUACCUGUGGCGAAAGCGGCCUCCUAAACGAAUACUGACACUGAGGGUGCGAAAGCGGUGGGGAGCAAACAGGGAUUAGAUACC